UACCUGUGAUGCUUCUGGAGGCUUCGUAUUAAUACACUCUGCAGCCAGCGAGUCAGCCCGUUUGGUUUCCCAGAAGACCGCAAGACAUUGCAAAAUAUCGGAAGUUUCUGGGGGAGGAACAGGGGAGGUCCUGAGCAGUCCCUGAGCCAGCAGAGAUCGCUGCAGCAAGACCAAGCGGCUGGAAGCUGAACUCAGUCAUCUUCCAAGGGAAAGUGAAGCACAGCUCUUUGUGGCAGCAGGCACAGCUAGGAUGGGAUGUUCCAUAAACCUUCCCGAUGAGACAAAACCCACGAAAUCACCAUGUGAAGCCUGCGGAGCAGACGCCCCUCUGUGACCGCAGGGACUUGGUGGCCUGUCCCCAGCUGCCGAGGGGCAGUGAGGGUCGGGACGGGAGCACCAGGCACAGAGGUGUGGGUUGGGGCCGCUCCUCAGCCCCCUCGUGCCAGCAGCACAAACACCCCCCAGCUGCUCUCGCAUCCCCGCGCCGCCUCCUGCUCCAGGCGCCUCCCGCCAGGAAAUGCAGCGAGUAACUUCUGAGCCAGGGGAAGUCUUGGUGGUGAGCACUGCGAGCAAGCUGACUGCACCAGCGGUCACGUGGGGCCGAAAUUUGGAGGAUGGUUUCGUGCACGGAGAAGCUGUUUGCUGUGCAGGCAGAAACGAAAUAAGCAGAGUAACAGGAAGACGGAGACGGUCAAGGCUUCGGCUGUGUAGCGGUUGUUCCUCCAGAGCUGAGGUUGUGCUUUAAACAACCGGCAUAUCCCCAGCACGGCGUACGACGUUUGGGACAGGAGGAGAUCUCGUGGCGUCCUGUGUACAGGUGGCACUGUAAGACAGGGUCAUCCUGGGGAAGAGUGGCCAUAAGGAAGGGCAGCGGGGCCUGCAACCACUGCUUGUUCUCCCUGGAUUGUCAAUGUAUGAAUAUCAUGAUCAUAAACAUAUCUAAAUGAAAAGAGAGCCAUUCAGAUGAUAUAAUGCCAUCAAUAACCCUGACAGUAAAGAACAUGGGAAUAAAGGCUAUGGGAAGAGUUUUCA